rnacentral:pre_miRNA from 1 species
CUCGGGGAGGUGGGGGGGCCCUCAGCCCAGAUUGCGAGAGGGUGCAGGCCAGACCUAGGGACCCCACCAGUGCACU